GAGCUCGUAGGCGGUUUGUCGCGUCUGCUGUGAAAUCCCGAGGCUCAACCUCGGGCCUGCAGUGGGUACGGGCAGACUAGAGUGCGGUAGGGGAGAUUGGAAUUCCUGGUGUAGCGGUGGAAUGCGCAGAUAUCAGGAGGAACACCGAUGGCGAAGGCAGAUCUCUGGGCCGUAACUGACGCUGAGGAGCGAAAGGGUGGGGAGCAAACAGGCUUAGAUACCCUGGUAGUCCACCCCGUAAACGUUGGGAACUAGUUGUGGGGUCCAUUCCACGGAUUCCGUGACGCAGCUAACGCAUUAAGUUCCCCGCCUGGGGAGUACGGCCGCAAGGCUAAAACUCAAAGGAAUUGACGGGGACCCGCACAAGCGGCGGAGCAUGCGGAUUAAUUCGAUGCAACGCGAAGAACCUUACCAAGGCUUGACAUAUACGAGAACGGGCCAGAAAUGGUCAACUCUUUGGACACUCGUAAACAGGUGGUGCAUGGUUGUCGUCAGCUCGUGUCGUGAGAUGUUGGGUUAAGUCCCGCAACGAGCGCAACCCUCGUUCUAUGUUGCCAGCACGUAAUGGUGGGAACUCAUGGGAUACUGCCGGGGUCAACUCGGAGGAAGGUGGGGAUGACGUCAAAUCAUCAUGCCCCUUAUGUCUUGGGCUUCACGCAUGCUACAAUGGCCGGUACAAAGGGCUGCAAUACCGCGAGGUGGAGCGAAUCCCAAAAAGCCGGUCCCAGUUCGGAUUGAGGUCUGCAACUCGACCUCAUGAAGUCGGAGUCGCUAGUAAUCGCAGAUCAGCAACGCUGCGGUGAAUACGUUCCCGGGUCUUGUACACACCGCCCGUCAAGUCAUGAAAGUCGGUAACACCUGAAGCCGGUGGCCCAACCCUUGUGGAGGGAGCCGUCGAAGUGGGAUCGGUAAUUAGGACGAAGUCGUA
rnacentral:rRNA from 1 species